UUUUUAUGGAUAAUAUUCGAUUUUUAAGGUGUCGGUCAAAUUAUAAUAUCCUCAUUGUAUGGACCAGCUGCAUAAAAUUAUUACUACUUGCACACCGGAUGCCUGCAACUACUCCACGUGAAUCACUUCAUGCUAUACGGGCCUGGCCCGCCAAAAUGUUACCUAUGUAAAUUGGUGUGUUUCCUAGGUAGUUUGGAAUGCCACGCAAAUUCUGACGAGCUACAUAAUGAUGAUAAUAUGUGGAUGUGUACAUGUGUGUUUUAGACUCAUCUAUAAUAGCAGUUUAUCAUUAGGACCGGUUGACCUAAUAAUAUGGUCGCUUGCGCACUUACUUGGUGUACUGACUCA